UCCUGUGUCCGCACCCAUCCCCAAGGGGAA
rnacentral:sRNA from 1 species